rnacentral:misc_RNA from 1 species
UUCAAUCACAUCUCCAAGAACCUGUUGUAACAUGGGAAAAAAUUGGAUCAGUAUCUCUAAUAAGAAUAACCAGGGUAUAAGCUAAACUCAGCAACUGCAUAAGUAUUUAACAGGGAUAUUAAAUUUUGGCAAACUUCUCGCUAACUGUUUUUAAUUUUUGAAAUUUGAACACGGCUACCAAUUUCUUAUUCUUUUUUUUUUUAAUAAAACAAUAAAGAAACAUCCCAUUAAUCCAAUCCAUUUCCAAACAUGUCUUAUUGGCAUUUUCCUACACUUGGAAUCUUUUUAUCUUCUCUCUCAUUAACAAGUAGACCAUGAUAUUGACAUGAUUAAAUCAGCAAUCAAUUGCAGAGAAUAACUGCAAUCAUUGGCCAUAACAAGCAACAACUCAUCACAAAAUAACAAAAAGGAAAAUGCAGAAUCAAG